GACAAGGCUAUCACCACCUGCCACCUACCUCUAGCUACCCGUGGAGGUGGUGUUGUGUUGUGUCUUAAAAUGAGACCCUUCCCCUUCUAUUUAUAGGCUCUUGGGUCGGUUCCCGAGGGGAAUAUCUAGGGAAUCUUCCACAACUACCAUAGGGACACUAUCAACUACUGCCACGCGUUAGCUAGAGAUGAGAGGAGCCAAGGGUGGUUCAACGGAACCUGGGGUUCGGC
rnacentral:lncRNA from 1 species